AGGGGUAUGGUUCUUCGGAACCAGAGACCGGCGCACGGGUGCGUAACGCGUAUGCAAUCUACCUUUUACAGAGGGAUAGCCCAGAGAAGUUUGGAUUAAUACCUCAUAGCAUAGCAGCUUCGCAUGAAGCCACUAUUAAAGUCACAACGGUAAAAGAUGAGCAUGCGUCCCAUUAGCUAGUUGGUAAGGUAACGGCUUACCAAGGCUACGAUGGGUAGGGGUCCUGAGAGGGAGAUCCCCCACACUGGUACUGAGACACGGACCAGACUCCUACGGGAGGCAGCAGUGAGGAAUAUUGGACAAUGGGCGCAAGCCUGAUCCAGCCAUGCCGCGUGCAGGAUGACGGUCCUAUGGAUUGUAAACUGCUUUUGUACAGGAAGAAA
rnacentral:rRNA from 1 species